rnacentral:rRNA from 1 species
CCUACGGGGUGCUGCAGUAGGGAAUCUUUCAUAAUGGGCGAAAGCCUGAUGGAGCAACGCCGCGUGCAGGAUUAAGGCCUUCGGGUUGUAAACUGCUUUUAUAAGCGAGAAAUAUGAUGGUAACUUAUGAAUAAGGAUCGGCUAACUACGUGCCAGCAGCCGCGGUCAUACGUAGGAUCCGAGCAUUAUCCGGAGUGACUGGGUGUAAAGAGUUGCGUAGGUGGCAUAAUAAGUAGCUAGUGGAAUCUGGUGGCUCAACCAUUCAGACUAUUAGCUAAAAUGUUAAGCUCGAGAACGUUAGGGGUAACUGGAAUUUCUAGUGUAGGAGUGAAAUCCGUAGAUAUUAGAAGGAACACCAAUAGCGUAGGCAGGUUACUGGGACGGUUCUGACACUAAGGCACGAAAGCGUAGGGAGCAAACGGGAUUAGAUACCCCAGUAGUC